UUACAAAGCUAAGAAAGAACGAAAUUCCAAUAGAAAUUUAAAGAUCAAUUUUCAAGUUUAAUACUUCCAAGAAUUAGAUUCCAAAGCAACCAAUUCUUAAACCAACCUAACAAUCCAUGCGAUUCUACAAUUCAUCUUUACCAAAAAUUACGCUACGUUACAUCUGAAUCUGAAGAACUUAGUAUACAUUGAAUAAUUAGAAAACGAAAAAAUUGAUUCAUAAGGGACCACCAAAAAAGGGGAGGGAAUGAAUUAGGCCACCCC
rnacentral:misc_RNA from 1 species